GCCCGCAUAGGCAAACUGGCAAAGCCAACCGGUUUAGGCCCGGUGUUUUGGGGGUUCGAAUCCCUCUGCGGGUA
rnacentral:tRNA from 1 species